CCCCAGCGAGAUGGCAGGCUGGGCAUUUCCAGUGCGCUCUCCUCCGGCCGCCUUGCCCCGGAUUAAGGCCACUCGGCUGGCACCGGCGCCGAGAGGGUUACGUUCCCACACCCCUCCUCUUCCAUGAGAGCCCACAACAAACGCCCGGCGGCUUCAAGAAGUUUGCCGCAAUUUGCCCCAGCCGGGCCGCCGUUUUCUCCCGGGGACCGGGAGGUGCCCGCGGACUCCCGCAGGACAAGCGCGGCCGCUCCCAGCCCCGCCGCGCCCCGACCCCCGCGCCCGCCCCGCCGGUGCGCGCCCUCGGCGCCGCGGCAGAGGCCGGAGUCGCUGCCGCUCUCCGCGCCCGCCCCGCACCUUGCACCGCGCUCAGCACCCACCCGCGCAGGAAAAUAAAAUGUUUGCCGCUUAUGAUU